rnacentral:rRNA from 1 species
GACGAACGCUGGCGGCGUGCUUAACACAUGCAAGUCGAACGCUGAAGCCCUUCGGGGUGGAUGAGUGGCGAACGGGUGAGUAACACGUGGGUAAUCUGCCCUGCACUCUGGGAUAAGCCUUGGAAACGGGGUCUAAUACCGGAUAGGACACAUCGCCGCAUGGUGUGUGUGUGGAAAGUUCCGGCGGUGCAGGUUGAGCCCGCGGCCUAUCAGCUUGUUGGUGGGGUGAUGGCCUACCAAGGCGACGACGGGUAGCCGGCCUGAGAGGGUGACCGGCCACACUGGGACUGAGACACGGCCCAGACUCCUACGGGGGGCAGCAGGGGGGAAUCUUGCGCAAUGGGCGAAAGCCUGACGCAGCAACGCCGCGUGGGGGAUGACGGCCUUCGGGUUGUAAACCUCUUUCGACCGGGACGAAGGAUUCGUUUGACGGUACCGGUAGAAGAAGCACCGGCUAACUACGUGCCAGCCGCCGCGGUAAUAC